rnacentral:rRNA from 1 species
UACGUAGGGUGCGAGCGUUGUCCGGAAUUAUUGGGCGUAAAGAGCUCGUAGGCGGCCUGUCGCGUCGGUUGUGAAAGCCCGGGGCUUAACCCCGGGUCUGCAGUCGAUACGGGCAGGCUAGAGUUCGGUAGGGGAGAUCGGAAUUCCUGGUGUAGCGGUGAAAUGCGCAGAUAUCAGGAGGAACACCGGUGGCGAAGGCGGAUCUCUGGGCCGAUACUGACGCUGAGGUGCGAAAGCGUGGGGAGCGAACGGG